GGGCUGCAGUAUUUUGACUGUACAAAGGUAGCAUAAUCAUUAGUCUCUUAAUUGGUGACUUGUAUGAAAGAUUGGAUGAGAUAUAUACUGUCUCUAAUUAAUUUAUAAAAUUUAAUUUUUUGGUUAAAAAGCUAAGAUAAUUUUAAAAGACGAGAAGACCCUAUAGAGUUUUAUAAUUUAUUUUAUUAUUGUUACUAUAUAAAUUUUAAAAUUAAAAUAGAAUAAAUUAUUUUGUUGGGGUGAUAAAAAAAUUAAAUUAACUUUUUUUUAUAUUAAACAUUAAUUUAUGAUUUUAUGAUCCAUUAAUAGUGAUUAAAAGAAAAAAUUACCUUAGGGAUAACAGCGUAAUUUUUUUUUUUAGUUCAAAUAGGAAAAAAAGUUUGCGACCUCGAUGUUGGAUUAA
rnacentral:rRNA from 1 species